GAUGAACGCUAGCGGCAGGCUUAAUACAUGCAAGUCGAGGGGCAGCAUGACCGUAGCAAUACGGUUGAUGGCGACCGGCAAACGGGUGCGGAACACGUACACAACCUUCCUUCGAGCGGGGAAUAGCCCGGGGAAACCCGGAUUAAUACCCCAUAGUAUAUUGAAGAGGCAUCUCUUUACUAUUAAAGAUUUAUCACUUGAAGAUGGGUGUGCGGCUGAUUAGCUAGUGGCGGGGUAACGGCCCACCAAGGCAACGAUCAGUAACUGGUGUGAGAGCACGACCAGUCACACGGGCACUGAGACACGGGCCCGACCCCUACGGGAGGCAGCAGUAAGGAAUAUUGGUCAAUGGACGCAAGUCUGAACCAGCCAUGCCGCGUGGAGGAUGAAGGUCCUCUGGA
rnacentral:rRNA from 1 species